rnacentral:lncRNA from 1 species
CGUCUCUUUGCUGGCCUCAGGAUCGCUGUCAUCAGUCAAGGCUGCCGGAGGGUUGUUUUCACGAGUUCUCUCAAAUGCUGCAGGAGCUUAGGAACAGGUGACCUGAACUUGAGACUUCCUGACCUGGUCUCUGAAUGAAAUAAGAGGAGGUGACAGGCUCUGUACCAGCAACUUUUGUGUCCCCUGAGGGUGGGGAUCCUGUGAGGCCGGGGAAGCACAAUUGUCCUGUCCCUGGGCACGAGGCCAGCUGCAGCGAGACAGGUUCACAGGUGGAGGGGUGAUCACGGAAGGGCGUGCCCGGGCUUUGGAAAACUGGAGAAAGUUGGUCCUUGGAUGGGGUGUGGAAAGAACAUGAGCUAUGGGUGGGGAGGAGCCAGGAUGAUUGACAGCUCUGAGCAGUGAAGGAAAAACUGUCUCCCCAAGUAGAGAUCUGAGGUUUCCACAGUACAGUAGGAGCUGAGUCUGUCACAUGGACUGGGUGGUCACCUGGCACAUUCCAGCAAAAGUGCUGCCCCCUGGAAGCCAAGGCCAUCCAUGCAGUUGAGCCAGUGGCCACUACAAGAUUUUGAAUUUUGAGGCAAUGAUUCCACAAAGGGCAUUAUAAACAGUUUGCAUCCACUUGCCUUCCUAGAAAACAGGAGCUGCCUUCGAGAUCUGUUCUGGCAUUGGAAGCAUCCCAAGGUUUCCAGGGUGUGAAUACUGACUUGUCAACCAAAGGGCACGCUCCUCAUUCUCUCAAUGCCUAUCCUGCCUCUUCCAACCCAGGGUUGUGCCACCAUUUUAUCCAUUAAGCCCAGCCCCUGCCUUGUCAGUCCCACCCCAAUACACCAAGGACACUGAACUGGGGUUCUGCAGCAUCUUUGCUGAAAAAAAAUGAAAGGAUAGUUUCAAUCCCAUAGCCCCUGUCAUCACCUCUCAUCACACUCUACUGCCAUGAUCUCCUGAAGCAUGUGAACCUCCGUGACCUCCCUCACAAAUGUCCCCAGGCAUUGCUGAUGUGGCUGCAUAGCAUGGAUGGUCAGGAGACUGUCCAGUGAAUCUUGCAAACUCCUCCUCCCCCAACCUCAGCCAGGAGAUCACUCCUGGGUGAAGUCCUCCCAUCUCAAGCACAGUGAGGCUGUGGGUUGCAGGCUUCAGGACUGGCAUUCCUCUUGGGUAAAGCUUGCCCAUCUGCCACUCAAGAAGACUUUGAAAGUUUGAGUGGGGACCUCAUCUUAUUUACCUUGUCUUCAGUGCCCAGGAUGGUGUAAACAACACCCAGCACAUGUGGUAGGCUGAAUGGAAUGAGCUAACGGAACAGUCAAUGCCCUGACUAGCCCCACUUCCCCCUGAGGAACAGAGCAUUUUGCCUCUCACUAAGUGACUUUCACAAUUCCCCCAUAAGGCCUAGUCUAAGGACACAUAAUUCUUGUCUUGCUGACAGUUCCCAACAGGAUCCUAGAGAGGCUGUUGGUGUGCUAUGGAGAAUACCCCAAACCUCUUCCUUGCCCAUCUCGCUUACAGAGUUGAGCUGCCAGCAGAAGCCAGUCCAGAGCUCGCACUCUGGGCUCAGAGAUCCCCAGUGCCUAUCAGUCUAUUCACCUUCCAGCUCAUGUGAGAACUGUGAAGCCUCCACUUCCUCAAAUACCCACAGCACUGGGCUUUUGCGGGUUGUGAAUGAGAGAAGGCAAUGGUCAGGAAGAUGCUCUGCUCUCCCCGGGAGACAUCACCAAAGACACGAGAGGAAACUCUGGCCCAAGCUCACCUGAUGCUCAGAAUAACAGAAUUGAGACUCUAAGCCAGUGAAGGUGGCUGACCUGGGCCUGUACAGGCCAACUGCUCAUCCCUACUGAUAUUCUCACCUCACCUUUUCAGUGUGGGUGGGAAUAAACUGGGUCCCCUCUUCUCAUAGCACAGAGAGCAGACUUAGCCAUGCUUUCAGGAGGGAGGGCUGCAUGGCCCAGUGGGAGCCCCUAUAUCUGUUCCCUGCUCACCUGGCCUGCCAGCUGCCCUUUUAUCCUCUGGCUUAGGCUGACCUGGAGACAGGAUCCUGCCACUCCCUGACCUUCAUAAAGGCCCUUCAAGUUUGCCGUGUAGUUGGUGAUUAUAUUGUUUGGAUCCUGUGAAUGGAUGUUCUUAAAUUUUUGUAAUUAGCCAUCAUUACUCUUGGGUUUGAUUCCUUCUAAAAAACAUAUCUGGAAGGGAGAAUGUCAUCAGAAUGGGAAGUAGUAAACAUCUGCAUUGAGAGUUAGCAAGAUAAACAAUGGCUUCCUUGUGUGUAUCCUCCACCUCGCCUUGGCCUUUAUUGUACGAGCCCCAGGGAUCCUCGACAAGCCCCGUCCCUCGAGCAUCCCUGGGAGAGUUGGUCCAGUCCAGGCUACAGAUCCCACCUUGGAGCUGACGUCCCCUCACCUCCCCUUUCCCGCCAGACCUCCUGAACUCCAAGCAAAGCAUCCAGCCCGCUCUAAACAUCCCCACAAGGAUGCCCACGGCUCCCAUUGCAGUUGCCUUUCUCCCUGCAGGCGGAAUUGAUCUCCUUCCUCUCAAAUGUACCCUGGCUCCUGUGUUCUGUAUUCUCAUCACUGCUCCCAGUGAGACCCUGGGAGACCUCACUGACCCUCUGUACCCUUCACUUCUGUUCCC